GACGAACGCUGGCGGCGUGCUUAACACAUGCAAGUCGAACGGAAAGGCCCUGCUUUUGUGGGGUGCUCGAGUGGCGAACGGGUGAGUAACACGUGAGUAACCUGCCCUUGACUUUGGGAUAACUUCAGGAAACUGGGGCUAAUACCGGAUAGGAGCUCCUGCUGCAUGGUGGGGGUUGGAAAGUUUCGGCGGUUGGGGAUGGACUCGCGGCUUAUCAGCUUGUUGGUGGGGUAGUGGCUUACCAAGGCUUUGACGGGUAGCCGGCCUGAGAGGGUGACCGGCCAAAUUGGGACUGAGAUACGGCCCAGACCCCUACGGGAGGCAGCAGUGGGGAAUAUUGCACAAUGGGCGGAAGCCUGAUGCAGCAACGCCGCGUGCGGGAUGACGGCCUUCGGGUUGGAAACCGCUUUCGCCUGUGACGAAGCGUGAGUGACGGUAAUGGGUAAAGAAGCACCGGCUAACUACGUG
rnacentral:rRNA from 1 species